UUAGCCACUUGUUACCUGAAUCACGAAUCAUGCACACCCGCAUCCCUAACCCUUGGAAAAUCCCCAAUCUCACACUUCUGCCGGCGGCGGCUUUGCGGCGACUAUGGCAGGGCCGUGAACCCCUUGAGCGAAGAGGAUGGAGGAGGUGGGCGGCGUCGGCGAGCGCAAUGUAUAGGAGGUGCGGGACCGCUGCAGUCGGGCCUCCCAGGCAGAGAUGGCCGGCACCGGCGAGCCAUCGUACAAAAUUUCGUCGGAUGUGUAGUACAACCCCAAAAAAAUCCCCGCUGGUGCUCAAUCCCUCCUCUAUUUCUCUCACUCUCGGUGGUUCCUGUAGAUGAAUGGGGAAAUAUUCCUUUUAUAGGAUGAAGAGCUCCAGGAUUUUGAUUUUGGGCUGCGUCAGUGCCAAUUUGAUCUGAAUUUAAAUGGAGUGGAGCAAUUGGUGGAUAAGUGCAUCUGCCUGCUAGAACCAGCUCGCCGUGUGUGCAGUGAGGGGUUUGACAGUAGUUGAAGAUUUGGGGGGUGUCAAUAUGAGGAUUUCAGGGCUUGUCAGUUUGUUGAGUGGGUGGACAAACCAUGGGAGGAGAGGGCAAGAACAGCUAUUGGUGAGCCGGCUAGCAAGAAUUUGAUCCUGGAGAAUUUAAUCAAGAAGGAGUCCAAGAAGGUUGAUGAGAAGGAGAGGCACGGACUGGAGAAGAAGCUAAUAAGUAGGAUGUACAAAGAGAGGCUGAACUAUAGAGAUAGAUGUUAAUGUUUGUUGUGAGAUCUUUCAGAGAAUGUUAAGUGCGUGGUCUUUUUCUUUAAUGAGAAUGAAGCUUGAAUAAUUUGUUGUUGGCCAUUUCUCUCAUAUUACAGAGUAAAAAGCAUAUAUAAGCA